rnacentral:lncRNA from 1 species
ACCCUGGGCUUCAGCCCCACUAGUCUCUCUUUCUAGGGCAAAACAGACUAAACUCGUCUUAGCCAUAUUAGAUAAUUUUGACCAAAAUUGGUGGCAAAAAUCACUAAAUCUGCUUUCUUUUAAAGAACCAGAAUAACACAUACGUGGCUUCAGUCCUCAGUAGCAGUAAGAAUGUCCCCUCUCCAUCCACUCUCCAUCUCCUUGCCCGAGCCGACUGCUUCAACUUUGAAAGCUUCUUUUGGUAGUCACCGCGUUCAUUGCUAAAUAAUAAAGUGACUUUUUGUCUCAAUUUAAAAAUUGUGAAUGUUUUAGAUUUAUUUUCUGUUAGAACUCUUAAGCCUCUUAUUUGCUCUUCUAUUAGUAUUUUUAUGACUUUUUUUGUUCAUUCAAUAACCAAUUUUAACAUUACUUCUGCUUUGAACAGAGUACUGAGCCAGUUAGAGUACUAUGAUUACAUUAUGAAAAUUUCAAGCAAACGGUUAUAGAAAAAAAUACCAUGAGCAGCCAGAUCUUAUCAUCUCAUUUAUUCAUAACCUAACAUUUUGCCACAUUUGUUUCAGGCAUGAAACAAAGCAUGACAGAUACAGUUGAAAAUCCUUUGGUCUUCCCUUCCUAAUCUCGUUCUGGUUCUUUUCUCUUUCUUUAUUUCCCUAGAAUAACCAUGAUCCUGAAGUUUCUGUUUGUCAUUCUGUGAAUUAUUUUUUUUUUUUACUUAUAUUACAUACACAUGAUUGCUAAAUGAUAUGUAGUGUUGGUAUGUUGUUAAAUUCUAUGUGAAUGGCAUAAUACUUUAAUAUUUUGAACCUACUUUUCUGGACUUCCUGUUCUUUCCCCUUUAAACUCCCCUUUACUGUUCUUCUCUGCUGGGUGUGUUUCCUGAAUACCAUGUUUUUCUUUCAUUUUUUUCAUUCAUUUUUUUUCUUUCUCUUUUUGCAGAAGCCCAGCCCUUUAGCAACUUCCUAAGAAAGAAUGCGUAGGAGACAUACUCUGAACCUUGUUGGUGUGAAAUUGUCAAUAUUCCAUCCUCACAUUUGAUUCAUCAUUGGGUUGGUAUAGAAUGCUAGCCUUCAAAUCAUUUCUACUCAGAAUUUUGGAGGUCUUGCUCCAUUAUUUUUUUAUCCCUAGUGAAUAAAAGUGUAGGGAGUUCCCUGGUGGCCUAGUGAUUAAGGAUUUGGCAUUAUCACUGUUUUGAGUCGGAUUUGAUCCCUGGCCUGGGAAAUUCUGCAUGCUGUGGGUGCAGUGAAAAAAAAAAAGAGAAGUGCAGAGCCAUCCUGAUUACUGGUCCUUCGAUGAAAACCCUCCUUUUCUUCAAGGCUCUUCAGAUCUCCUUCUUUAUCCCUGGCCUUGGAAAUUCCACACAGCUGUACCCUGACAUCGGGCACCCAGAAAUCUCCCUAAAGCAGAAGUCCAUCCUGCAAUUCUGAGAAAUGUUCUUGUUUUAUGCCUCUGAGAGUUCCCUUCCCUCAGUUCUCUCUGGGCCGAAUUCCUGGAACUCCUGUUGGUUGCAUGGCAGACUUUCUGAAUUAACCCCUCUAGCAUUCUUAUCAUUUCGGGGGCUUAGUUUUCCUCUCUUUAUCUUUUUGUUUUCCUUGAUGUGAGGUUUUUGCAUUUGAUUGUCCAAACUCCUUAUGAAGUUUUUUAUUCGCUUUCAUAUUUUUAUUUUCUGUCUUUGUCAUUUUAGGGCCCUACCCACGGCAUAUUUAAGUUCCCAGGCUGGAGGUUGAAUUGGAGCUAUAGCUGCUGGCCUACACCACAGCCACAGCAACAGCAGAUCCUUAACCCACAGCUCACGGCAACACCAAGUCCUAACCCACUGAGGGAGGCCAGGGAUUGAACUCGAGUCCUCAUGGAUACUAGUUAGGUUCCUUUCCAAUGAGCCACAGUGGGAACCCCGCUUUCAUAUUUUUAAUAUCUAGGAACUCUUUCUUGUUCUUUAAUAAAUUCCCUUUCAUAGCAUCAUGUUUUAUGUAUAAGAUAUCACUCUGAGAAUAUACUUUUUUGAGAUUUUCCUCUGUUUCCUGGAUUUUCUGUUGUCUCUGGUUUCAUUUUCUUCUGUUUUGCUUUUAGUUCGCUUUAGUGUCUCUCAUGGUGGAAUCUUUGCUCCUGUGUUUGAGGAUUCCUUGCCCAUCUGUCCACAUUAAAGAAGUAGGAGCCAAAAAGGUCAGCUGGGAGCUCUGAGGGCAUGGGUUGGACUUGUUGAUAUAGGAUGACUGGAGCAUAGGAUAACCUUUUGAUGGGGUAUCUUCAAAAUCAAAGUAUGUAAACCUUUAUUCUAGGACCAUUUCCAUCUGGUCUUGAUAGGAUCUAACAGUAGGUUUCUGUUACAUCAGGUUUCUGCAACAUUAACUUAUUCUUAUUUCUCAAGAUACCAAACUUCCUUAGGCCUCAGCUUCCUUGUCUGUAAUCAGAUGGAGCUGGGCUAGGUGACCUCAAAAGACUCUUUCCAUUCUAUAGUUUUAUAAUACAAUUCAGGAUAGAGAUUAGUUAAGAGAUGGAAGCAUAUUAGAAGGAAUCAACUAUGCUUAAAAUAUAAAAAUCCUUUGAAGCUGUCAGGAGAUAGGCUGCUAAAAAUCUAAUAAAAUUUUUGACUCAUUGGAGACAUGACUCAAUGGGAGAUAAUUAGAAAUAAACUUGGGAGGGAGGACUCAAGAAGGGCUAAUAUUUAGUGGCAAUGCCUUAAUUAAUUUUGCCUAUGCCCUUGGGAUGUUGAAUUCAGUAGGUUUUGCAGUCUACCUCUUGGAGCUGAAUUGCACACAUAAGCUGGACGUUGCUGAUUGAAUAGGGUGUUAUAGAUCCAGAGAGAAGGAAGGGGUAUUAGAUUUUAAUUUAUAAUAACCCAUCCAAGACCCUGGGUCUCAGGCUGACAGAUCCCGACACAAAGGUCAGCAUCUUGGAGGAUCUCUAAAAUUAGAUUCUUGUUUACUCCUAAGAUGAAGCUGUGUCCCACCGCCCCUCCCGAUGCUGCAUGCGAUUAAGGGACUCUCAAAAGGUGGCAGGGAAAACAUCACCUGGAGAUUUCUCAUUUCUGCACAGGAGUUUACCAGGAUCCGAUACAUGUGUGCAUUAAAAUGAAAACUAAGUCUUAGUUUAAACUCUAUUUGCUUACUUUUGUCAAUUCCUGCAACAUCGGUGCCGUUGUCCCCAUGUUUUUAUGUAUCUCUUAUACAAUGCAUGCAGCUGGUAUAGAUGAAUAUACAGUUUGAGUAAAUGAAUAUAUGGAGAUGAAAACUAUGCCCUAGAAAACUGCUUCCUUUUCAUCUACCUCUAACUCAGGCUGAAAAUCGAUAGGUCACCCUCCAAGUUCAGCAUAUUCUAAGCAGGCCAAGGCAUGGAACUGGGGCUUGUUUAGGUACAUUCAGCUCGAUGUGAUGGAAUUCCAAUGACACAAAAUACCUUGAGGAAUAAUGUCUCAGCAGCGUGGCUUGUCCUGCAGUCGCCUCGAUAUCAUAUUGCCGAGGAGAAAUACAGCUAACCUGUCAUAACGGUAUUUACCUGGAGCGCAGGGGAGAGUGAUGACAGGGGAGACAUUUAGGGGAGAUUUCCUGGAUUUACGAUAUUGAUUUUUGGUCUUUGUAUGAGGAAGAAAUUAACAUCCUUUCUCCUAGAAAUAUGUUCCCUGCAAUGAGCCUGGUUAACUUCAUGAAAUACAGCUUACCCAGUGAGUGUUUGCCAAGAAGGGGGACUGCGCUGGAUUCAGAGGGGAGCAGGCAAUCUGACCCAGAGUUGGGGCUCUAUCAGAUUGCAGAUGAAGAAGGAGAAGACUUAGGCUGUCUUUGGUUUUGGCAAAGCUGAUGAAAGACAAGCUUUAGCUGGGGAGCCUUGUUUAAGAAAGACUUGGAGGGAAGAGAGGAUUUCCACAAUAGCACAGACUUGGGGGCUACUUUUUAUAGGUAUAUUGUAAAAUAAAGCCCUUCAUUCAUUUAUUUAUUUGACAGUUACUAAGGAAUAGACAAUGUCCUUGUUACUAAGGAUGUGCGAAAUUGCUUUUAGGGAGCUCAGAGGUCAGAAGAGAAAACCAUCCAGACCAGCCUCAUAGCAGUUGAGAAUGGAGACUUUGGGGAGUUCCCUUGUGGCAUAGUGGGUUAAGUAUUCUGUGUUGUCAUUGAAGUGGCUCUGGUCACGGCUGUGGUGUGGGUUUGAUCCCUGGCCUGGGAACUUCCACAUGCCACAGGUGUGCCCCCCACCCCCACCCCCUCUAAAAACCACAUAUAAACAAUGGAAUGUUACCCAGCUGUAAAAAAGAAUGAAAUAAUAUCUUUUGCAGCAACAUAUAUGGACCUAGAAAUUAUCAUACCAAGUGAAGUUGGACAGUGAAAGACAAACAUUAUAUGAUAUCGCUUAUAUGUGGAAUCUGAAAAAAGGAUACAAAUGAACUUAUUUGUAGAACAGAAACAGACUCACAGACCUUGAAAACAAACUUAUGGUUACCAAAGGGGACAGGUUUGGGGUUGCGGGAGAGAUAGACUGGGGGUUUGGAAUUGGCACAUGCACACUGAGGUAUAUGGAAUUAUUGGUCAGUGGUGCCCUGCUACCCAAUAUUCUGUGAUAAUCGAUGUGGGAAAAGAAUCUGAAAGAGAAUGGAUGUGUGUACAUGUAUAACUGAAUCACUGUGUUGUACAGCAGAAGUUGUCACCACAUUGUAAAUCACUAUACUUCCCUAAAACUGUAAAAAAUUAAAAAAAAA